rnacentral:lncRNA from 1 species
GUUAGGUGUUAGUUGUUAAGCCACGACUUACAGACUUGUGGUGCCGCCGGAUUUAUGUUUGUUUAACCUAACUGGUGCUAGUUUAGAAAGGACAUUAGUCGAGACUUUUACACACAAACUUCAGAAGGAAUUUAUGCUAAACUGCUUCAACCCUGUCCAGGUGUAAACUGAACCUGAGGAGCGUGCACGUGCUGCAGGUGCUGAAGAGGGACAGAGCGCGAGGGGGAUUUACCGGUUUUAAACCUCACCUCCCACACACAACUGAAUAAACUGUGGUUCCUACACCCUACCCAAUGGAGUGAUUCUUCUGCCUACUGCAGAAUACUAACACAACAAGACACAGACAGAUAAGCUAGAGGUGCACCCAGAGCCUAGUUUGCUGAUUCAUCUGCCAGUAAAGCUAACAACAACUAAAUACAGACAAUUCAGGGAACUCAGGGUGGUGGGUCACUACUGGCUCAGUUCUGAA